rnacentral:rRNA from 1 species
GACGAACGCUGGCGGCGUGCCUAACACAUGCAAGUCAACUUGACUGAAGGAGCAAUCUGACAGUAGAGUGGCGCAAGGGUGCGUAACGCGUAAGUAACUUGCCCAAGGUAAGGAAUAACGUCGAGAAAUCGGCGCUAAUACCUCAUAAUGCAGCGGAUCCGCAUGGAUAUGUUGUUAAAGGUUUACCGCCUUGGAUAGGCUUGCGUCUGAUUAGUUAGUUGGUGUGGUAACGGCACACCAAGGCUACGAUCAGUAACUGGUCUGAGAGGAUGAUCAGUCACACUGGAACUGAGACACGGUCCAGACUCCUACGGGAGGCAGCAGUGAGG